rnacentral:lncRNA from 1 species
CAGCAGGUUAAGGCCCCCGACCAGGCCGACCCCGCUGCCCCCUUCUUCUCUCUGUCAGUGCGUGUUGCUCCUCCUCCUCUCUCUAAUGUUCUCUUUCUCUCCCGUUGCAAUCAGGAGCAGCCAUGGAGGCGCCGAGGUCCUUCAAGCCGUGCCUCGAUCUACGGCUGCCGGUGACCGGAGUCGUCAUCGAGCUCGGAAAUGGGACCCCCUUGACCGGAUCUUUCCAGCCCGCCGACGAGAGCCC